rnacentral:rRNA from 1 species
UGGGGAAUAUUGCACAAUGGAGGGAACUCUGAUGCAGCGACGCCGCGUGAGUGAUGAAGGAAUUCGUUUCGUAAAACUCUGUCCUAUGGGAAGAAAAGGACUGUACCAUAGGAGAAAGCUCCGGCUAAAUACGUGCCAGCAGCCGCGGUAAUACGUAUGGAGCGAGCGUUGUCCGGAAUUAUUGGGCGUAAAGGGUGCGCAGGCGGCUUUACAAGUUGGAUGUGAAAUAUUGUGGCUCAACCACAAACGUGCAUCCAAAACUGCAAAGCUUGAGUUAAGGAGAGGUAAGUGGAAUUCCUGGUGUAGCGGUGGAAUGCGUAGAUAUCAGGAGGAAUACCGGUGGCGAAGGCGACUUACUGGACUUAAACUGACGCUCAGGCACGAAAGCGUGGGGAGCAAACAGG